GAUGAACGCUGGCGGCGUGCCUAAUACAUGCAAGUCGAGCGAACAGAUAAGGAGCUUGCUCCUUUGACGUUAGCGGCGGAAGGGUGAGUAACACGUGGGUAACCUACCUAUAAGACUGGGAUAACUUCGGGAAACCGGAGCUAAUACCGGAUAAUAUUUCGAACCGCAUGGUUCGAUAGUGAAAGAUGGUUUUGCUAUCACUUAUAGAUGGACCCGCGCCGUAUUAGCUAGUUGGUAAGGUAACGGCUUACCAAGGCGACGAUACGUAGCCGACCUGAGAGGGUGAUCGGCCACACUGGAACGGAGACACGGUCCAGACUCCUACGGGAGGCAGCAGUAGGGAAUCUUCCGCAAUGGGCGAAAGCCUGACGGAGCAACGCCGCGUGAGUGAUGAAGGUCUUCGGAUCGUAAAACUCUGUUAUUAGGGAAGAACAUACGUGUAAGUAACUGUGCACGUCUUGACGGUACCUAAUCAGAAAGCCACGGCUAACUACGUG
rnacentral:rRNA from 1 species